GGUUUUUAACUGCCAUUUUGAGUGGCCGUUUCUUCUCUCAAGCUGUUACCACCACGCACUCCUGCGGGCAUCUACACGAAGCCCAACUCGAAAACCGCACGUGGAUUACAAGCGACAGAGAAACCCUCGAUCGCCGCGGUCGAUUCAGACAUCACAGCAACGAGCCACGCGUGGGCCACUCUUCCCGCGCCAGCGCGAUUCUUUCAGGGUGAUGAACGACAGGGUCGGACGCAGACGAGGACGCGAACUUCCCUCUGCACUCCCCACAGCUUCCGAUUCCACGUCCUCCCUCUGCCACCGCCAACACUGCCCGAGUCCCUUCCCUUUCCCCAGCCGUCAAAUCCAGA